GAUGAACGCUAGCUACAGGCUUAACACAUGCAAGUCGAGGGGAAACGUUAGAGAAAGCUUGCUUUUUCUAGGCGUCGACCGGCGCACGGGUGAGUAACGCGUAUCCAACCUGCCCACCACUUGGGGAUAACCUUGCGAAAGUAAGACUAAUACCCAAUGAUAUCUCAAGAAGACAUCUGAAUGAGAUUAAAGAUUUAUCGGUGAUGGAUGGGGAUGCGUCUGAUUAGCUUGUUGGCGGGGUAACGGCCCACCAAGGCGACGAUCAGUAGGGGUUCUGAGAGGAAGGUCCCCCACAUUGGAACUGAGACACGGUCCAAACUCCUACGGGGGGCAGCAGUGAGGAAUAUUGGUCAAUGGGCGAGAGCCUGAACCAGCCAAGUAGCGUGCAGGAUGACGGCCCUAUGGGUUGUAAACUGCUUUUAUAAGGGAAUAAAGUGAGUCUCGUGAGACUUUUUGCAUGUACCUUAUGAAUAAGGACCGGCUAAUUCCGUGCCAGCCGCCGCAGUAA
rnacentral:rRNA from 1 species